rfam:Fukomys damarensis contig161215, whole genome shotgun sequence.
GUGGGUGUAGCUCAGUGGCAGAGUGCUUGCCUGGAUUGCAGGAGGUCAUGGGUUACAUUCCCAGUACCACA